AGUCAUCAACCCAACCCGUUUUUGUUGCGGGUUGGCUUGGAACUGGGGGCUCUUGCUGCUGUGAAAGGCGGCUCCCCUUAAAUGUGUCGGUUGGGCCUGUGGGUCAAACUCGACUGGGCGUUGUACCAUCCUCGCUCGACUGAGACGGUCCCCUGUUGCGCCCUUCCCCGACCCGCCUUUGGAGUGGUGGGUCAAACCAAACUUUGAA
rnacentral:misc_RNA from 1 species